GGUUACAGCUCAGUGGUAGAGCGUGUGCUUAGCAUGCACGAGGUCCUGGGUUCAAUCCUCAGAACCA
rnacentral:tRNA from 1 species